CGGAACACGUACGCAACCUUCCUUUAACUGGAGAAUAGCCCCUCGAAAGAGGGAUUAAUACUCCGUAACAUGUACAUGUGGCAUCACAAGUACAUUAUAGCUCCGGCGGUUAAAGAUGGGCGUGCGCCUGAUUAGAUAGUUGGCGGGGUAACGGCCCACCAAGUCUGCGAUCAGUAACUGGUGUGAGAGCACGACCAGUCACACGGGCACUGAGACACGGGCCCG
rnacentral:rRNA from 1 species